UUAGAUGGACUCUAACCAGUUCCACAAACA
rnacentral:tRNA from 1 species